rnacentral:rRNA from 1 species
UACGGAGGGUGCAAGCAUUAAUCGGAUUUAUUGGGCGUAAAGGGCGCGUAGGCUGGGAUAUAAGUUAAAUGUGAAAUUCCACAGCUCAACUGUGGAGCUGCAUUUAAAACUAUAUUUCUUGAGGGUAGGCGGAGAAAACGGAAUUCCAUGUGUAGCGGUGAAAUGCGUAGAUAUAUGGAGGAACACCGGUGGCGAAAGCGGUUUUCUAGCUUAUUCCUGACGCUGAGGCGCGAAAGCAAGGGGAGCAAACAGG